UUGAAAAAUUGGCUUAGCCUUUAAAUGCCAUUGCUGUGGUGUACAGUGAAAAGUUACAAGCAAGUAGCACCAAAGUAACACAUCAAUUAGACUUCGUAAGUUUAAGAUCUUCAGAUCAACCAGAAGACCAUGCAUCUGUCUAUUACUAAUACUAUAAGCCAGCUACAGAAAAGUUCUACAUGUUUUUAAUUCCUUGCCAUGGCUUGAAAUAACCUAUGGGGGUGCUGGAAUUUAAUCCAGGAAAAGUAUAUUAGCCAAUAGCCAUUACAACUUCCAUCCAGUGAAAAACCAUCUUAUUGGGGAAAAGAUAAACAAUUAUAAACAUAAAUAGACCUUAGAUGAAUUGGGUUCCAAGUUAGCUAGGAAGUUCUCCUGA
rnacentral:misc_RNA from 1 species